GGAAGUUGCUGUAAGAAACUGAAAUGCAAUUUCCUUGCAAUAAAAUUCUUUCUUAGUCAUGACCCAGCCCUAAAGGGUUAUGGGCUCCGGCAAGCAGUUAGUUACUCACUCUCUCCUUUCUGGUCUAAAUUGGGUUGGAAUAUAUAUCAAAGGAAGCCAGAAAGUGGUUGGGGAGAUUAAAAAAAACAACAACAACAACGUUUAGACUGAAUGUCUUGACGGUCCAUCCAUUCACUUCUGCUUUGAAAAUGACAGGGUCUCACUCUGUUACCCAGUCUGGAGUACAAUGGCACCACUAUAGCCCACUGCAGCCUCAAACUUCUGGGAUCAAGCAAUCUUCCCACUUCAGCAUCCCAAGUAGGAAUGUCUCAUUAAAUGACAUCAAAGCCUGAUUCUGCAAUUAAAAAAGCGUUUAUAUUAACUGGAUUUUGAAAAGAGAAAAGAACAAUAAAACCACCCCCCAAUUCUUCAAACAACAAAAGAGGAAACACAGCAACCCCCUUCCCCAAAUUUUGGCAUUUGUUCACCUCUUUUAACCCUUGCUUUUUUGUAAAAUAACUUAUGGAGAAAUUGUUGUGAGCAAAAGGUCUUAAUUGCAAAAAAAAAAAAAAAUCCUUUUAGGAGUGUUUAAAAUAAAAUGACAGAGUAUAUUUAUGGAGCCUGGACAAUGCAUCCUUUUCUCAUAUUUUCCAGUUUUGUAAUGCCUAAGUACUCGUCUAGAAUCUGAAUUUAGUAAUGCCAAUAUUGGACUCUUUCACAUACAUUCUAUAGAGUUAUUAGUAAACUCAUGACAACCAACUAACCAACCAGGCAAACAAAAACAUAUUUAGAAACCCAAGCUGUAAGGCACAGCUCAUGCACACACACACAAAAUUUCAUCCCAAAAUAUGUAUGAACUUUGAGGGAACAAUCAGCACUCUAAAGCAGCCGAACCCCCUGCACAGUUAGGAAUGAGCGGGCUUCUGGCAGUGUCUUUUAAAAAGGCACAGAGAUUUGCGUAUAGACAUAUUUCUAGUGCAUCAAUGACAGGUGGCUCUUCCCCAUCUAAGCAGGAUGGAUGGAGGGAGUUAGGUACAAUGGCUUAUAAUUUUCAAAUACUGUAAUUUUUUUUGUAAAGAUGGAAACCAUUAUUUUUUAAAAGCAUGUGGUUUCAAUAGUGCAUAUUUGAUUUAUGACUAAGAAUUCUUUUUCUCCAUGCCAUAUUAGUACCCUCACUUAAUUAAAUAGUUUUCUUUUUUGAAACUUAGAUUGGACAGAAAUCUGUUUUACCAAGGUAGUGAAUAUGGCUUUGUCAAAAUCUCUGUGUGUUUGUGUGUGUGUAUGUUGAAAUAAGUGCAGAAUUGAGAUAAUGAUGUGGAC
rnacentral:lncRNA from 1 species